rnacentral:tRNA from 1 species
GCCUGGGUGGCUCAGUCGGUUAAGCAUCCAACUCUGUCUUGGCUCGGGUCACGAUCUCAUGGUUCGUGGGUUCGAGCCCCACAUCAGGCU